UAGGGAAUAUUGGGCAAUGGACGCAAGUCUGACCCAGCCAUGCCGCGUGCAGGAUGAAGGCGCUCAGCGUUGUAAACUGCUUUUAUCAGGGAAGAACAGCAGUCCUGCGGGAUUGUGUGACGGUACCUGAGGAAUAAGCACCGGCUAACUCCGUGCCAGCAGCCGCGGUAAUACGGAGGGUGCAAGCGUUGUCCGGAUUUAUUGGGUUUAAAGGGUGCGUAGGUGGUUUUUUAAGUCUGGUUUGAAAGCUGGUCGCUUAACGAUCAGAUGUGGCUGGAAACUGAAGAACUUGAAUGCGUUGGCGGUAGCCGGAAUGGGUCAUGUAGCGGUGAAAUGCAUAGAUAUGACCCGGAACACCGAUUGCGAAGGCAGCUUACUAAACUGAUACUGACGCUGAUGCACGAAAGCGUGGGGAUCGAACA
rnacentral:rRNA from 1 species